rnacentral:rRNA from 1 species
GACGAACGCUGGCGGCGUGCUUAACACAUGCAAGUCGAGCGGUAAGGCCCUUUCGGGGGUACACGAGCGGCGAACGGGUGAGUAACACGUGGGUGACCUGCCCUCAGCUCUGGGAUAAGCCUGGGAAACUGGGUCUAAUACUGGAUAUGACUCCACGGUGCAUGUCGUGGGGUGGAAAGCCUUGUGCGGCUGAGGAUGGGCCCGCGGCCUAUCAGCUUGUUGGUGGGGUGANGGCCUACCAAGGCGACGACGGGUAGCCGGCCUGAGAGGGCGACCGGCCACACUGGGACUGAGACGCGGCCCAGACUCCUACGGGAGGC